rnacentral:rRNA from 1 species
AUUGAACGCUGGCGGCAUGCCUUACACAUGCAAGUCGAACGGUAACGCGGGGCAACCUGGCGACGAGUGGCGAACGGGUGAGUAAUGCAUCGGAACGUGCCCAGUAGUGGGGGAUAGCCCGGCGAAAGCCGGAUUAAUACCGCAUACGACCUACGGGUGAAAGCGGGGGACCGUAAGGCCUCGUGCUAUUGGAGCGGCCGAUGUCAGAUUAGGUUGUUGGUGGGGUAAAAGCCUACCAAGCCGACGAUCUGUAGUUGGUCUGAGAGGACGACCAGCCACACUGGGACUGAGACACGGCCCAGACUCCUACGGGAGGCAGCAGUGGGGAAUUUUGGACAAUGGGGGCAACCCUGAUCCAGCCAUGCCGCGUGCGGGAAGAAGGCCUUCGGGUUGUAAACCGCUUUUGUCAGGGAAGAAACGCUCUGGGCCAAUACCCCGGGGUAAUGACGGUACCUGAAGAAUAAGCACCGGCUAACUACGUGCCAGCAGCCGCAGUAA